AUACAUGCAAGUCGAACGAGUUUUGGUCGAUGAACGGUGCUUGCAUUGUGAUUCAACUUAAAACGAGUGGCGGACGGGUGAGUAACACGUGGGUAACCUGCCCUUAAGUGGGGGAUAACAUUUGGAAACAGAUGCUAAUACCGCAUAAAUCCAAGAACCGCAUGGUUCUUGGCUGAAAGAUGGCGYAAGCUAUCGCUUUUGGAUGGACCCGCGGCGUAUUAGCUAGUUGGUGAGGUAACGGCUCACCAAGGCGAUGAUACGUAGCCGAACUGAGAGGUUGAUCGGCCACAUUGGGACUGAGACACGGCCCAAACUCCUACGGGAGGCAGCAGUAGGGAAUCUUCCACAAUGGACGCAAGUCUGAUGGAGCAACGCCGCGUGAGUGAAGAAGGCUUUCGGGUCGUAAAACUCUGUUGUUGGAGAAGAAUGGUCGGCAGAGUAACUGUUGUCGGCGUGACGGUAUCCAACCAGAAAGCCACGGCUAACUACGUGCCAGCAGCCGCGGUAAUACGUAGGUGGCAAGCGUUAUCCGGAUUUAUUGGGCGUAAAGCGAGCGCAGGCGGUUUUUUAAGUCCUGAUGUGAAAGCCCUCGGCUUAACCGAGGAAGCGCAUCGGAAACUGGGAAACUUGAGUGCAGAAGAGGACAGUGGAACUCCAUGUGUAGCGGUGAAAUGCGUAGAUAUAUGGAAGAACACCAGUGGCGAAGGCGGCUGUCUGGUCUGUAACUGACGCUGAGGCUCG
rnacentral:rRNA from 1 species